rnacentral:rRNA from 1 species
GCCCGGUUAACGAUGAGUGCUAAGUGUUAGAGGGUUUCCGCCCUUUAGUGCUGAAGUUAACGCAUUAAGCACUCCGCCUGGGGAGUACGGUCGCAAGACUGAAACUCAAAGGAAUUGACGGGGGCCCGCACAAGUGGUGGAGCAUGUGGUUUAAUUCGAAGCAACGCGAAGAACCUUACCAGGUCUUGACAUCCUCUGACAACCCUAGAGAUAGGGCGUUCCCUUCGGGGACAGAGUGACAGGUGGUGCAUGGUUGUCGUCAGCUCGUGUCGUGAGAUGUUGGGUUAAGUCCCGCAACGAGCGCAACCCUUGAUCUUAGUUGCCAGCAUUAAGUUGGGCACUCUAAGGUGACUGCCGGUGACAAACCGGAGGAAGGUGGGGAUGACGUCAAAUCAUCAUGCCCCUUAUGACCUGGGCUACACACGUGCUACAAUGGAUAGUACAAAGGGUUGCAAGACCGCGAGGUGGAGCUAAUCCCAUAAAACUAUUCUCAGUUCGGAUUGUAGGCUGCAACUCGCCUACAUGAAGCCGGAAUCACUAGUAAUCGCGGAUCAGCAUGCCGCGGUGAAUACGUUCCCGGGCCUUGUACACACCGCCCGUCACACCACGAGAGUUUGUAACACCCGAAGUCGGUGGGGUAACCUUUUAGGGGCCAGCCGCCUAAGGUGGGACAGAUGAUUGGGGUGAAGUCGUACAGGGGUCCCCA